rnacentral:rRNA from 1 species
UUCCGGUUGAUCCUGCCGGACCUGACUGCUAUCGGAUUGAUACUAAGCCAUGUUAGUCUUUGUAGUAAUACAAGGCAUACGGCUCAGUAACACGUAGUCAACCUAACUUAUGGACGGGGAUAACUUCGGGAAACUGAUGAUAAUACCCGAUAGGUCAUUAUGCCUGGAAUGGUUUAUGGCUUAAAUGAAUUUCGCCAUAGGAUGGGACUGCGGCCUAUCAGCUUGUUGGUGAGGUAAUGGCCCACCAAGGCUAUAACAGGUACGGGCUCUGAGAGGAGUAGCCCGGAGAUGGGUACUGAGACAAGGACCCAGGUCCUAUGGGACGCAGCAGGCGAGAAAACUUUGCAAUGUGCGAAAGCACGACAAGGUUAAUCCGAGUGUUUCCUGCUAAAGGAAUCUUUUGUUAGUCGUAGAACCACUAGUGAAUAAGGGGUGGGCAAGUUCUGGUGUCAGCCGCCGCGGUAAAACCAGCACCUCAAGUGGUCAGGAGGAUUAUUGGGCCUAAAGCAUCCGUAGCCUGUUUUGUAAGUCUUCGGUUAAAUCCACAUGCUUAACAUGUGGGCUGCCGGAGAUACUGCAAAACUAGGGAGUGGGAGAGGUAGACGGUACUUGAUAGGAAGGGGUAAAAUCCUUUGAUCUAUUGAUGACCACCUGUGGCGAAGGCGGUCUACCAGAACACGUUCGACGGUGAGGGAUGAAAGCUGGGGGAGCAAACCGGAUUAGAUACCCGGGUAGUCCCAGCUGUAAACGAUGCAGACUCGGUGAUGCAUUGGUUUAUUGCCAGUGCAGUGCCGCAGGGAAGCCGUUAAGUCUGCCGCCUGGGAAGUACGUACGCAAGUAUGAAACUUAAAGGAAUUGGCGGGGGAGCACCACAAGGGGUGAAGCCUGCGGUUCAAUUGGAUUCAACGCCGG